rnacentral:rRNA from 1 species
CUAACGGCUGAACCAGCAACUUGGAGGAAUGAAAAGCGAAAGCUAAUUGCAUUUACUUAAAAUUAAAUUUUAAGAGAGUCUCCCUUUUUAAAGAGGGAGGGUCCAUUUUUUAUGUAGUUACUACUUAGUAGUUUAAAAUUCUAGAUAGAAUUAUGAUGAUGACAUUAUCUAUCUAUUAGUCUUGACCAAAUUACGUGCCAGCAGUCGCGGGAAUACGUAAAAGACAAGUGUUAUUCAUCUUUAUUGGGUUUAAAGAGUACCAAGACGGUUAAUAAAGCCCAAAAUACUUGAACACAGGGGACACAUUAACUAGAGUUAUAUGAAAGGAAGCUCUAAAGUACUAUUGAGUGUAGAGAUAAAAUUCUGUCAUACCAGAUCAAGGCACAGAUUUAUGCGAAGGCAUCUUCUUAUGUAAUAACUGACGUUGUAGGACGAAGGCUUUAUUAGUAAAAAGGAUUAGAUACCCUCGUAAUCUAAGCAGAAAAUGAUGAAUGUCAUAGGUUUAAUAUAUUAUUGGGUCUAUAAAUGAAAGUGUAAGCAUUCCACCUCAAGAGUAAUUUGGCAACAUUGGAACUGAAAUCAUUAGACCGUUUCUGAAACCAAUUUGAAUAUAUAUCUUUAAAGAUAUUUACAAGCGUUGCACGGCUGUCUUCAGUUGGUGUCGUGAGAUUUUGGUUAGUUCCAUAAAAUUAACGUAAACCCUCGUUUUAUUUAUAAAUAAAGUUUAGAUCUCUGUUCC